UCUGGCUCAGAACGAACGCUGGCGGCGCGUCUUAAGCAUGCAAGUCGAACGGCAAGAGGUAGCAAUACCUCCUAGAGUGGCGGACUGGUGAGUAACACGUGGGUGACAUACCCUUCAGAUGGGGAUAGCUAUUAGAAAUAGUAGAUAAUACCGAAUACGAGCACGGGGGUUAGAGAUCUGUGAGGAAAGGAGCUAAGGCUCCGCUGAAGGAAUGGCCUGCGGCCCAUUAGCUAGUUGGUGAGGUAAGAGCCCACCAAGGCGAUGAUGGGUAUCCGGCCUUAGAGGGUGAACGGACACAUUGGGACUGAGAUACGGCCCAGACUCCUACGGGAGGCAGCAGCUAAGAAUAUUCCGCAACGGACGAAAGUCUGACGGAGCGACGCCGCGUGGAUGAAGAAGGCCGGAAGGUUGUAAAAUCCUUUUGAAACUGAAGAAUAAGCGUUGUAGGGAAUGACAGCGUGGUGACAGUAGGUUUUGAAUAAGCAACGGCUAAUUACGUGCCAGCCGCCGC
rnacentral:rRNA from 1 species